UCUACCUGGUAGUACGGAAUAAUUGUUGGAAACGACAACUAAUACCGUAUACGCCCUACGGGGGAAAGAUUUAUUGCUAUUAGAUGAGCCUAUAUUAGAUUAGCUAGUUGGUGAGGUAAAAGCUUACCAAGGCAAUGAUCUAUAGCUGAUCUGAGAGGAUGAUCAGCCACACUGGAACUGAGAUACGGUCCAGACUCCUACGGGAGGCAGCAGUGGGGAAUAUUGGACAAUGGGCGAAAGCCUGAUCCAGCCAUGCCGCAUGAGUGAAGAAGGCUUUCGGGUUGUAAAGCUCUUUUAGUGAGGAAGAUAAUGACGGUACUCACAGAAGAAGUCCUGGCUAACUCCGUGCCAGCAGCCGCGGUAAUACGGAGAGGGCUAGCGUUAUUCGGAAUCAUUGGGCGUAAAGGGCGCGUAGGCUGGUUAGUAAGUUAAAAGUGAAAUCCCAAGGCUCAACUUUGGAAUUGCUUUUAAAACUGCUAAUCUAGAGAUUGAAAGAGGAUAGAGGAAUUCCUAGUGUAGAGGUGA
rnacentral:rRNA from 1 species